GCCGCUAUAGCUCAGCCGGUAGAGCAGCCGACUUGUAAUCGGCAGGUCCCGGGUUCGAUGCCUGGUGGCGGCACCA
rnacentral:tRNA from 4 species